UGGGGAAUCUUGCUCAAUGGGCGCAAGCCUGAAGCAGCAACGCCGCGUGCGGGAUGAAGGCCCUCUGGGUUGUAAACCGCUUUCAGCAGGAACGAAUCUGACGGUACCUGCAGAAGAAGGUCCGGCCAACUACGUGCCAGCAGCCGCGGUAACACGUAGGGACCGAGCGUUGUCCGGAUUCAUUGGGCGUAAAGAGCUCGUAGGCGGUUGGGUAAGUCGGGUGUGAAAACUCCAGGCUCAACUUGGAGACGCCACCCGAUACUGCUCUGACUUGAGUGUGGUAGGGGAGUGGGGAAUUCCUGGUGUAGCGGUGAAAUGCGCAGAUAUCAGGAGGAACACCGGUGGCGAAGGCGCCACUCUGGGCCAUUACUGACGCUGAGGAGCGAAAGCGUGGGGAGCAAACAGG
rnacentral:rRNA from 1 species